rnacentral:rRNA from 1 species
CCUACGGGAGGCAGCAGUAAGGAAUAUUGGUCAAUGGGCGCAAGCCUGAACCAGCCAUGCCGCGUGCAGGAAGACGGCCCUAUGGGUUGUAAACUGCUUUUGUCAGGGAAUAAACCCCCGCUCGUGAGCGGGGCUGAAGGUACCUGAAGAAUAAGCAUCGGCUAACUCCGUGCCAGCAGCCGCGGUAAUACGGAGGAUGCAAGCGUUAUCCGGAUUCAUUGGGUUUAAAGGGUGCGCAGGCGGAUUGGUAAGUCAGGGGUGAAAUAACACAGCUCAACUGUGGAACUGCCUUUGAUACUGUCAGUCUAGGGUAUAGUUGAAGUUGGCGGAAUGUGUCAUGUAGCGGUGAAAUGCUUAGAUAUGACACAGAACACCGAUCGCGAAGGCAGCUAGCUAAGCUAUAACUGACGCUCAUGCACGAAAGCGUGGGGAUCAAACAGGAUUAGAUACCCUGGUAGUCCACGCUGUAAACGAUGAUUACUCGAUGUUGGCG